GACGAACGCUGGCGGCGUGCCUAACACAUGCAAGUCGAGCGAAUGAAGUUCCUUCGGGGAUGGAUUUAGCGGCGGACGGGUGAGUAACACGUGGGCAACCUGCCUCAUAGAGGGGAAUAGCCUCCCGAAAGGGAGAUUAAUACCGCAUAAGAUUGUAGUACCGCAUGAUACAGCAAUUAAAGGAGCAAUCCGCUAUGAGAUGGGCCCGCGGCGCAUUAGCUAGUUGGUGAGGUAAUGGCUCACCAAGGCGACGAUGCGUAGCCGACCUGAGAGGGUGAUCGGCCACAUUGGGACUGAGACACGGCCCAGACUCCUACGGGAGGCAGCAGUGGGGAAUAUUGCACAAUGGGGGAAACCCUGAUGCAGCAACGCCGCGUGAGUGAUGAAGGCCUUCGGGUUGUAAAGCUCUGUCUUCAGGGACGAUAAUGACGGUACCUGAGGAGGAAGCCACGGCUAACUACGUG
rnacentral:rRNA from 1 species